rnacentral:rRNA from 1 species
CUUACCAACAUUUGACAUCCCUCUGACCGGUCUAGAGAUAGACCUUCUCUUCGGAGCAGAGGUGACAGGUGGUGCAUGGUUGUCGUCAGCUCGUGUCGUGAGAUGUUGGGUUAAGUCCCGCAACGAGCGCAACCCCUAUUUUUAGUUGCCAUCAUUAAGUUGGGCACUCUAGAGAGACUGCCGGUGAUAAACCGGAGGAAGGUGGGGAUGACGUCAAAUCAUCAUGCCCCUUAUAUGUUGGGCUACACACGUGCUACAAUGGUCGGUACAACGGGCAGCGAAAGGGUGACCUUAAGCGAAUCUCAAUAAGCCGAUCUUAGUUCGGAUUGUAGGCUGCAACUCGCCUACAUGAAGCCGGAGUUGCUAGUAAUCGCGGAUCAGAAUGUCGCGGUGAAUACGUUCCCGGGUCUUGUACACACCGCCCGUCACACCACGAGAGUUGGUAACACCCGAAGUCAGUGAGCUAACCGUUUACGGAGGCAGCUGCCGAAGGUGGGAUUGAUGAUUGGGGUGAAGUCGUAACAAGGUAACC